rnacentral:rRNA from 1 species
ACGAACCGUGCGAACGUUGUUCGGAAUCACUGGGCGUAAAGCGCACGUAGGCGGCUUUUUAAGUCAGGGGUGAAAUCCUGGAGCUCAACUCCAGAACUGCCUUUGAUACUGAGAAGCUUGAGUCCGGGAGAGGUGAGUGGAACUGCGAGUGUAGAGGUGAAAUUCGUAGAUAUUCGCAAGAACACCAGUGGCGAAGGCGGCUCACUGGCCCGGUACUGACGCUGAGGCGCGAAAGCGUGGGGAGCAAACAGGA